GUGCCAGCAGCCGCGGUAAUACGUAGGGGGCAAGCGUUGUCCGGAUUUAUUGGGCGUAAAGAGCUCGUAGGCGGCUUGGCAAGUCGGGUGUGAAAACUUCAGGCUCAACCUGGAGCGGCCACUCGAUACUGCCAUGGCUUGAGUCCGGUAGGGGACCACGGAAUUCCUGGUGUAGCGGUGAAAUGCGCAGAUAUCAGGAGGAACACCAGUGGCGAAGGCGGUGGUCUGGGCCGGAACUGACGCUGAGGAGCGAAAGCGUGGGUAGCAAACAGGAUUAGAUACCCUGGUAGUCC
rnacentral:rRNA from 1 species